CUCUCGCUCUCUUACAAGUUUUCUCUGCGCUGCAUUGCGAGCUGACCAUGCUGAAGGAGCAAUUGUGGAAAAUAUUUUAGAUCCGUGGAGUGUCUGGGUUUGUGUCAAAGGAACAUACCUUGUGCUUGUUACAUUUGAAACUCCUGGCAGCCUGGCACUGACCACGUGAAACCUCCCUGAGCUUAAAGGGGGUUUUGAGAACUGUUCAUCCAAAUCCGCCCAGUUUUGUGAUGCCGAUCUCAGACUGCAUGGUUGAGCUGUGAGACUUUGGCCUGGUGACCCAAGGUUGUAAUGUUUGACAGUGAGAGUUGACCGUGACAGUAUCACGGGAAACGCCUCAAAAAGCAAAUCUGUAGCCUCGCUUUACCCAUACGGUCACCAUUUCUUGAUCUUGUGGGAUAAUGCUGCAGUACAGACCUUUACAAAUUACUGGAUUAUUGUGUGCUCGAGUACACUGUGUAAUUGUACAUUUAUUUAAUAGGUCUGGUCAUGAGAUUUGCCUGGAGUCAUCAGUGAUUUGACUGCUGAUUGCCUGAACGGUAAAGACAUAAUUUAAUUGGCUGCUGUCUUGAACUCAGAUCAUCACAACUUUUAAUAAACUUAUU